rnacentral:rRNA from 1 species
GAUGAACGCUAGCUACAGGCUUAACACAUGCAAGUCGAGGGGUAACGAGAGGAAAGCUUGCUUUCCUUGUCGACGACCGGCGCACGGGUGAGUAACGCGUAUCCAACCUGCCCCCAACUAGGGAAUAACCUUGCGAAAGUAAGGCUAAUACCCUAUAAUUUCCUCAGAUGACAUCUGACGAGGAAUAAAGAUUUAUCGGUUGUGGAUGGGGAUGCGUCUGAUUAGCUUGUUGGCGGGGUAACGGCCCACCAAGGCAACGAUCAGUAGGGGUUCUGAGAGGAAGGUCCCCCACAUUGGAACUGAGACACGGUCCAAACUCCUACGGGAGGCAGCAGUGAGGAAUAUUGGUCAAUGGGCGGAAGCCUGAACCAGCCAAGUAGCGUGCAGGAUGACGGCCCUAUGGGUUGUAAACUGCUUUUAUACAGGAAUAAAGUUAGCCACGUGUGGUUAUUUGUAGGUACUGUAUGAAUAAGGACCGGCCAAUUCCGUGCCAGCCGCCGCGGUAA